rnacentral:rRNA from 2 species
AGUCGAGCGAACUGAUUAGAAGCUUGCUUCUAUGACGUUAGCGGCGGACGGGUGAGUAACACGUGGGCAACCUGCCUGUAAGACUGGGAUAACUUCGGGAAACCGAAGCUAAUACCGGAUAGGAUCUUCUCCUUCAUGGGAGAUGAUUGAAAGAUGGUUUCGGCUAUCACUUACAGAUGGGCCCGCGGUGCAUUAGCUAGUUGGUGAGGUAACGGCUCACCAAGGCAACGAUGCAUAGCCGACCUGAGAGGGUGAUCGGCCACACUGGGACUGAGACACGGCCCAGACUCCUACGGGAGGCAGCAGUAGGGAAUCUUCCGCAAUGGACGAAAGUCUGACGGAGCAACGCCGCGUGAGUGAUGAAGGCUUUCGGGUCGUAAAACUCUGUUGUUAGGGAAGAACAAGUACRAGAGUAACUGCUYGUACCUUGACGGUACCUAACCAGAAAGCCACGGCUAACUACGUGCCAGCAGCCGCGGUAAUACGUAGGUGGCAAGCGUUAUCCGGAAUUAUUGGGCGUAAAGCGCGCGCAGGCGGUUUCUUAAGUCUGAUGUGAAAGCCCACGGCUCAACCGUGGAGGGUCAUUGGAAACUGGGGAACUUGAGUGCAGAAGAGAAAAGCGGAAUUCCACGUGUAGCGGUGAAAUGCGUAGAGAUGUGGAGGAACACCAGUGGCGAAG